AUGGCUCAAUUUGCACAGGUCAUGGCUGAAGUGGGCGACUUUGGUCGCUUUCAGGUGCGGUUGACCAUCCUGAUGGGCAUUCCCAAUUUCCUGACUGCAUUCUUCAUAUUUGGCCAGGUCUUCAUGGUCCUUGACGAGGCUCACCACUGUUCAGUGUCCUGGGUUAAGAACCACACUUUCAACCUAAGUGCCGCUGAGCAGCUGGCUAUAAGCAUCCCCAACGACACAGCGGGCAGACCCGAGUCCUGCCUCAUGUUCCGGCCACCUCCUGACAGUGCCAGCCUGGAAGACAUCCUGAGCCACCGCUUCAAUGAGACACAGGCCUGUGACUCAGGCUGGGACUAUCCUGAGAACCGGCCUCAGUCCCUAAAGAAUGAGUUUGACCUGGUGUGUGAUUGAAAGAACCUGAAGAGGACCUCUCAGUCGGUGUUCAUGGCUGGACUUCUUGUUGGAGCCCUGGUCUUUGGGCCUGUCUGUGACUGGUUUGUGGACAGUCUGGUGUACUACAGCCUCAGCUUCCAAGUGGGGGACUUUGGCCUGGAUAUCUAUGUGACACAGCUGAUAUUUGGAGCAGUGGAAAUGCCUGGCCGCUUCCUCAGUGUCCUCAUGAUGGAGAAGCUGGGUCGCAAGUGGAGCCAGCUGUGUACUCUGACUCUGGCUGGCAUCAUGUACAUCAUUAUCAUCUUCAUCCCAGGAGAUCUUCCCACGGUGGUCACUGUGCUGGCUGUGGUGGGGAAGUUUGCCUCGGCUGCGGCCUUCACCAUCUCCUAUGUGUACACUGCUGAGCUCUUCCCCACCAUCAUCAGGCAAACAGGCAUGGGGUUGGUGAGCAUGUUCUCCAGGGUCGGUGGCAUCAUCACACCCCUUGUGAUGCUGCUGGAACAGUACCACCAGGCGAUUCCCAUGGUCAUCUUUGGCAGCCUCCCCAUUGGAGCAGGCCUACUGUGCGCUCUUCUUCCUGAGUCCCGGGGCCAGACCCUGAAGGACACCCUCCAGGACCUGGAGCAGGGGCUCCCUGCAGGGUCCCACAAAACAGCACCCCAAAGACAAGACAUGGAGGCUUCGGGAAGAACUUCCAGUGUGAGGGUGGCUGUUGUGAAGAGCUCGUACUUCUGACUGUGGCUGCUGAGGGCCAGCCUAUCAAGAGCAGAGGACAGGUUUCUGUUUUGUCACACAAGCUGCAUUCCCAGACCUGCCUUUGGGGUCUUUGUAGGCAUUUUCUCUUCCAUUUCUUAGGGGUUAUCUAUGUCUAGGAGAGAUAGUUCCAUUCUGUAAUGCUUAAUUUUCAUUGUCACCCUGACCGGAUGGGAAUCGCUAAAGGAGGAGCAUCUCUGGGUGGUGUCUGUCAAGGUGUUGUCAGAAGUUUAACUGAGGAGGGGAGACUGUCCCUGAACAUGGGCAGUAUCCUAUUGGCUAAGGUCCUGAACUAAAUAAAUAAAACCAUGAAGGGAACUG